ACCUCCUGUACCAAACAUAAAUAAAAAACUCCGUUCUUAUCAGCCUAAUAUCUCAUACGGGUCCCAUUUGCACCGAAGAUAUUAAACUUAUUUUUGGAAUGUGGCGAAGUGCUUGAAGUUUGCUUCACCUCCGCCACGGGUUGGCCCGGUAUUGCACUAUCUCCGGGAUUGGCCCACUCACC